rnacentral:rRNA from 1 species
AUACGUAGGUGGCAAGCGUUGUCCGGAAUUACUGGGUGUAAAGGGCGUGUAGGCGGGGAUGCAAGGUAUCGGUAAAAACCCGGGGCUCAACCUCGGGCUUGCCGGUAAAACUGUAUCUCCUGAGUUUAGGAGAGGGAAGUGGAAUUCCUGGAGUAGCGGGGAACUUGGUAGAUACCAGGAGGAACACCAGUGGCGAAGGCGGCUUCCUGGCCUAUUACUGACGCUGAGGCGCGAAAGCUAGGGUAGCGAACGGGAUUAGAUGCCCCGGUGGUCCUAGCCGUAAACGAUGGUCACUAGGUGUGGGUGGUGGUCAAGCCAUCCGUGCCGGAGCUAACGCAAUAAGUGACCCACCUGGGGAGUACGGCCGCAAGGUUGAAACUCAAAUGAAUUGACGGGG